GAGGGGGGGGUUGGCCCACCCUGCCCCGCCAACGCCACCACCAAAACAUUCAAACGAUGAGCGGUGGUGACGCGACUCUGCGUGUGUACGGGCCCCCCCCACUGUCGCGGUUCGGAUCCCAUCGGUUUGCCUCCUCCCCACCCCCCCACCACCACCAGCCCUAGUUAAUACUGCGGGGGAUGUAUCCACCGCGGGGAUGUUUAUCAACCGCGGAAAGGCGAGCGGGACUCGCACAGGGGAACUUGACGUUAUUCGCCACGAGCGAGGCGGGCACGUUCCACAUUAUUGUUGGAAAAGUUUUAAAAAAUGCCAAAGUUUGAACCAAAAAAAUAAUUAAAGUUGGGGGGAGCGGGGGGGUGGAGAGAUGAGAAAAACAGACAAACAAUGCAGCUGCAUCAGGAGCAAUAGCACUAUGUAACACGAUUUCUGACCCUGGGUGGUGUUAUUUUUUUAAUUGCUUAUGCCUUAAAAGUACAGAAAAUUGCUACAAACUUUGCCUCUGUGACCAGGACUUUAUGUGAAGGAAUGACACAAAUGCACACCACGUUUUCUCAAUGAAAACAGGUGCAUUUCUAAAUAUCACUGUCCUGGUCACAAAAUCAAAGUUUGUGGGGAAUAAUAGCCCAUUUUCUGGACGUUUGAGGCAUUAGCAAUUAGGAAAUAACACAUUACCCAGGAACAAAAAAAAGUUUUUUUUGCGACAGUGUUAUUAACCCCCCCACUGCCAAUGGAAAACGUGGCAAGACCCUCCUGCAGAAAGUGUCAUGAGACUCGGGCAAGGUGGGGGGGGGGGGGCUUGGGGGGCGUGAACAUGCGGAACGUGAAGAGGCACUUCUGGAAGCAAACCCAGCGCUAGCAGCAGCAGCGAGCAGCGGCGCAAGUAUCGCCAAGAGGGACUCCUACGGGGCUCUGUUGUGGUGACUGCGUCGUGCGAAGACGACGCGCCCCUGCACUGUCAAAUGUUCGAGACCGUGCGUGACGUCAUGUUUGGACGACCCCAAAGAGGAGGCCGCGAUAUAUAACAGCCUCUAGGUGCCACGGUGCGAGACAGAUCAAAUAUUGAGCCAUCCAGGCUAGCACCGGGGAAGGAAAUAACCCAGCACAACAGACCAAAGGAAGCCCAAGGAGAAACCCACCAACAUGAAAGUGAUGACAUCACAAUGGCAUCAGGUGUUUGUGAUGCAUGUGAGCCCCUUGUGGUAUGAGCCCACAACAAUGUCCUUAUGUGUCCGAAUUAGGCAAUAAACAAUCACAUGAACAAUCCUGA